GCUACUUUGCAUUCGCCGACGACGACGAAAAGGACGCAGACCCCGCUCGCUGGAACGUCCAGUUGCAGCAGCGGCGGCGAAGUCCCGAUGCCCAUUCCGACAACGUCGUGAAAUUCACGAACAAGGGCAAAAUUUGCCGACGAGGUUCCACCGUAACGAACCACCGGUAGACUCGGCCCAGGCCAUCUAACACAGGACACCCCGGCUACCCUCGUCACGUUCCAUCGCUCGAGCAUCAUGGGCCUCAUACUGCUGAUCCUCACCGUAUAUUAUUACAUUAUCGUGACUCACCUGAUGCUACUGCCGCCCUUCGACAUCCUGCCAUCGAUCAGCAUACUGGACGUCCUUGGCUUCGGGACAGCUGGAGUUCGUUCCGGCACCGUGGCGUCGUGGCUCCAGUCUCUCCAUCAAGGAGGUGCCAUCACCAGGCGAGGAUGGUUCGCCAGCCUCCAGAGAUGGGGCAUGAACGGCGGCGUCCCGACGCAGUGCCAAAGAGCACUCAAAAUCGUCGGGUGUUGCCUGCUGCUUCUGGCACGUGAUCCCGUAUAGAGAAGCACGGCGUAACCUGGCAACCCAAGAAAGACACAGCUCAGCGUCUGCAGCUGCAGACAGGUGGAGCUGUCUUUGCCGGGUUAGCCACACACUGAUGAAUAAAAUUUCUCCAAUACUCGGCAUGGGCAUGCACUUCGGCAUGACUGUUGAAGAUCCGCAGGAGAGUAUGACAAACGUUGAGGAAGAAAGCGCCAUGGAGUGAGGAGAGCUCCUGGGGGAAAGUGAGUGAGAAGUGAUUGAUGAUGUUGCACGCUGUCUCACGCAAAUGUCAUUCCCGGUUGAACCCACGCGCCAGCGUGUGGGAUUGUUUGACUCGGGUUGCUGUUAUCGUAAGGACAGCAAUCAAAUCUUACUGUAGGCAGUCUUGGCCAAUAAUA